GCUACGGGGCGUAGCAGUGAGGAAUAUUGGUCAAUGGGCGCGAGCCUGAACCAGCCAAGUAGCGUGAAGGAUGACUGCCCUACGGGUUGUAAACUUCUUUUAUAAAGGAAUAAAGUGAGGCACGUGUGCCUUUUUGUAUGUACUUUAUGAAUAAGGAUCGGCUAACUCCGUGCCAGCAGCCGCGGUAAUACGGAGGAUCCGAGCGUUAUCCGGAUUUUUUGGGUUUAAAGGGAGCGUAGAGUGGUUGUUAAGUCAGUUGUGAAAGUUUGCGGCUCAACCGUAAAAUUGCAAUUGAUACUGGCAGCGUUGAGGACAGUUGAGGGAGGCGGAAUUCGUGGUGUAGCGGUGAAAUGCUUAG
rnacentral:rRNA from 1 species